GGACCUCUGGAAGAGCAGUCAGUGUUCUUACCUGCCGAGCCAUCUCUCCAGCCCUCCACAGAGCUCUUAAUCAGUGCUGAACAGGCAGCCAGUUCCUUGCCCAAAGCAUCCAACCCCACAGAGGGACUUGAAGUAUGUGAAGAAUGUGAGCCUCUUGGACAAAUGCCUUCAGAUGAAGGUAGAAUUCUCAGCUCCUCCU